UUUCCGUAGGUGAACCUGCGGAAGGAUCAUUGUCGAAGCCUGCCCAGCAGAACAACCCGCGAACUUGUAUAAACAACCGGGGGCAGGGGCGAUCUCGCCCCGUGCCCUCGAACGGCAGGGAGACACUCGUGCCUUCUUGUCGAACAACGAACCCUGGCGCGGUCUGCGCCAAGGAACUUCAAUUAAAGAGUGCCUCCGGUCGCCUCGGAAACGAUGCGCGUGUCGGAGGCGAAUCUUGUACAAAACCAUAACGACUCUCGGCAACGGAUAUCUCGGCUCUC
rnacentral:misc_RNA from 1 species